AUAAUUUACAGUGAGGAAUGUUUAAAAACAUGUUUUCAUAAUUAUUUAUGUAGUCCAUAUUUACACAUAUGAUUAUACAUAUGUGAUACAAAACCCUGUUCUCACAAUGGUAAUGUAUAAAAUAAUUGGAUUAACAUUUCUUAGAGAAAUACCGAAAGGUUUGUCAGUUUGGUACAGGAUGUAAACCCUCCCCUCAGGUGGGAAGCCAGGGAAGCGCAACAACGGAAGUAAUUAACAUACUGUGAAUCAAAUGCACAGGUUCAGCUGUUGUCUGGUGACUGCACAAACUUUUACGAAACUGCCACCUCUUACAAACAGUUUAUGAGUUAUGUUCCGGAAAAGAACCCUGGCUUGAACAAAGUCCAAUUUCUUUGCAUUGCCUACAGAAUAUAAUAACAGAAAAAGGCAUCAGUUCGGCACGUGCUUGUUUCGUUUACCUUAUCAAUGCAGCAUAUGGGGCGCACUCGAAAUUACUUGGGAAGGUACCCACUACUGUCAUUUUAACCAGUUCACCGUCUCCUUCUCUUAUAUAUAAGUGUUAACUUACUGAAGAGCGUGUUUCAAACAUUUCUUACAUCAUACUUAUACUGAAGCCUACUUGUAGCUACAAUUUGAUGCUCUGCGUCGUCACUUUUGUUUUUCUGAUAUGCAUACAUUCUGCAUACAACUCACUCGUUUUCAUCCAGCCGACAACUGGAAACAUGACUGGGAUCCUGACUUGCGUAGAGCAGGAAGAAAACCAGUCAAACUGUAGCGUCACGUGAUAGAAUGGCAGUCUCGCGAGAUUUAUGACGUCGCUAUGACGACAAUUUCACACUGAUACCGCCAUUGCUGUGUUAUCAUUAUUGCUAUCACAUUGCCAUUUUUCUGGUGUUAUUUGCCUGGUAUUUUGAUCUUCUCCGUCUGUGAAAAUCAUGAGCUCCUACACCCAAGGUAGAAGAUCUGCAGCCCCUCACUCGCUACUGGUGUAUCACUGAGCAGCCUUCGUCUACCCCUGUGUAUCGCGCCUGAUGUAAAAAACGUAUCAGUGAAAUGUUGUAAUAAACUCCUGGUGAACGUAAAA